GACGGAGGGUGCUAGCGUUGUUCGGAAUCACUGGGCGUAAAGGGCGCGUAGGCGGUCAUUCAAGUCGAGUGUGAAAGCCCGGGGCUCAACCUCGGAACUGCAUUCGAUACUGGAUGGCUUGAGGCCGGAAGAGGGGAGUGGAAUACCCAGUGUAGAGGUGAAAUUCGUAGAUAUUGGGUGGAACACCAGUAGCGAAAGCGGCUCUCUGGUCCGGUCCUGACGCUGAGGCGCGAAAGCGUGGGUAGCAAACAGG
rnacentral:rRNA from 1 species